rnacentral:rRNA from 1 species
CUCGUAGGCGGUUCGUCGCGUCCGGUGUGAAAGUCCAUCGCUUAACGGUGGAUCCGCGCCGGGUACGGGCGGGCUUGAGUGCGGUAGGGGAGACUGGAAUUCCCGGUGUAACGGUGGAAUGUGUAGAUAUCGGGAAGAACACCAAUGGCGAAGGCAGGUCUCUGGGCCGUUACUGACGCUGAGGCACGAAAGCGUGGGGAGCAAACA